AUUGAACGCUGGCGGCAUGCUUUACACAUGCAAGUCGAACGGUAACGCGGGGCAACCUGGCGACGAGUGGCGAACGGGUGAGUAAUGCAUCGGAACGUGCCCGGUAGUGGGGGAUAACUGCUCGAAAGAGCAGCUAAUACCGCAUACGACCUGAGGGUGAAAGGGGGGGAUCGCAAGACCUCUCGCUAUCGGAGCGGCCGAUGUCGGAUUAGCUAGUUGGUGGGGUAAAAGCCCACCAAGGCAACGAUCCGUAGCUGGUCUGAGAGGACGACCAGCCACACUGGGACUGAGACACGGCCCAGACUCCUACGGGAGGCAGCAGUGGGGAAUUUUGGACAAUGGACGCAAGUCUGAUCCAGCCAUGCCGCGUGCGGGAAGAAGGCCUUCGGGUUGUAAACCGCUUUUGUCAGGGAAGAAAUCUUCUGAGUUAAUACCUCGGGAGGAUGACGGUACCUGAAGAAUAAGCACCGGCUAACUACGUGCCAGCAGCCGCAGUAAAAC
rnacentral:rRNA from 1 species